CCUACGGGUGGCAGCAGUGGGGAAUAUUGCACAAUGGGGGAAACCCUGAUGCAGCGACGCCGCGUGAGUGAAGAAGUACUUCGGUAUGUAAAGCCCUUUCAGCCGGGAAGAAAAUGACGGUACCUGACUAAGCAGCCCCGGCUAACUACGUGCCAGCAGCCGCGGUAAUACGUAGGGGGCACGCGUUAUGCGGAUUUACUGGGUGUAAAGGGAGCGUAGACGGGAGCACAAGUCUGGAGUGAAAUGCCGGGGCUUAACCCCGGAACUGCUUUGGAAACUGUGCGGCUUGAGUGCAGGAGAGGAAGGUGGAAUUCCUAGUGUAGCGGUGAAAUGCGUAGAUAUUAGGAGGAACACCAGUGGCGAAGGCGGCUUUCUGGAGUGUAACUGACGUUGAGGCUCGAAAGCGUGGGGAGCGAACAGGAUUAGAUACCCCGGUAGUC
rnacentral:rRNA from 1 species